AGAGUUUGAUCAUGGCUCAGGACGAACGCUGGCGGCGUGCUUAACACAUGCAAGUCGAACGGAAAGGCCCUUCGGGGUACUCGAGUGGCGAACGGGUGAGUAACACGUGGGUGAUCUGCCCUGCACUUUGGGAUAAGCCUGGGAAACUGGGUCUAAUACCGAAUAGGACCACGCGCUUCAUGGUGUGUGGUGGAAAGCUUUUGCGGUGUGGGAUGGGCCCGCGGCCUAUCAGCUUGUUGGUGGGGUAAUGGCCUACCAAGGCGACGACGGGUAGCCGGCCUGAGAGGGUGACCGGCCACACUGGGACUGAGAUACGGCCCAGACUCCUACGGGAGGCAGCAGUGGGGAAUAUUGCACAAUGGGCGCAAGCCUGAUGCAGCGACGCCGCGUGAGGGAUGACGGCCUUCGGGUUGUAAACCUCUUUCAGUAGGGACGAAGCGAAAGUGACGGUACCUACAGAAGAAGGACCGGCCAACUACGUGCCAGCAGCCGCGGUAAUACGUAGGGUCCGAGCGUUGUCCGGAAUUACUGGGCGUAAAGAGCUCGUAGGUGGUUUGUCGCGUUGUUCGUGAAAACUCACAGCUUAACUGUGGGCGUGCGGGCGAUACGGGCAGACUAGAGUACUGCAGGGGAGACUGGAAUUCCUGGUGUAGCGGUGGAAUGCGCAGAUAUCAGGAGGAACACCGGAGGCGAAGGCGGGUCUCUGGGCAGUAGCUGACGCUGAGGAGCGAAAGCGUGGGGAGCGAACAGGAUUAGAUACCCUGGUAGUCCAA
rnacentral:rRNA from 1 species